UACGUAGGGGGCAAGCGUUGUCCGGAAUCAUUGGGCGUAAAGAGCGUGUAGGCGGCCCGAUAAGUCCGCCGUGAAAGUCCAGGGCUCAACCCUGGGAUGCCGGUGGAAACUGUCGGGCUAGAGUCCGGAAGAGGCGAGUGGAAUUCCUGGUGUAGCGGUGAAAUGCGCAGAUAUCGGGAGGAACACCAAUGGCGAAGGCAGCUCGCUGGGACGUGACUGACGCUGAGACGCGAAAGCGUGGGGAGCAAACAGG
rnacentral:rRNA from 1 species